rnacentral:tRNA from 1 species
GCCCAGGUGGUGAAAUUGGUAGACACGCCACUUUGAGGGGGUGGUGCCCGUUCGGGUGUAGGAGUUCGAGUCUCCUCCUGGGCA